ACACUGAGAGAAGGGAGGCCAGGGGGACUCCAGCCUAGCUGAGAUAGGGCGGGUCCUGUGGGGAGGGUCUCCAUCAGGCCCAGCCCUCGUUCUUUUGUUUAUCUUCACAGACAGCAACUAGGAGAACAGGCAGCCAAAUUUUUGGAUUUCUCCACUCUUGAUGAACAAAGAGACUGACCUGUCGUCUAUAGCACUAUCUUUGCUGCGGACAUAAACAAUGUUGCUCAGAAACGGACAUGGCUCUCUGAUCCAUUUGGACUUCGUUUUUGUGCAUGGUGUUAGACUGAGUGUUGCUGCUGCUGCUGCUAAGUUGCUUCAGUCGUGUCCGACUCUGUGCGACCCCAUAGACGGAAGCCCACCAGGCUCCCCCGUCCCUGGGAUUCUCCAGGCAAGAACACUGGAGUGGGUUGCCAUUUCCUUCUCCAAUGCAUGAAAGUGAAAAGUGAAAGUGAAGUCGCUCAGCCAUGCCCGACUCCCAGCGACCCCAUGGACCGCAGCCCACUACCCCCAGAUUCAUAUAUUGACGUCUUAACAACCAACGUGAUGCUGUUAGAAGACUAGUUUUGCCUGUGGCAGAAUCUCAUAUAAAUGGAAGGAGAACUGAUUCAGCAGAUGCGGUGGUCUUUAGAAGCAUCCUUGCUUUCUGGCCUCACAAGAUGGUCCUGGAUCCUCUGCCCAGUUCGGGAAUCAGCCAUUCCUCCAGGAGCCCUGGCUUCUUUCUUGGGAAAUGCCCACAUGCCUAAAGCCUGCGCUCUGCAACAGGAGAAGCCACCACAAUGAGCAGUGCGGAUGCUGCAACUAGAGAAAGCAUGUGUGCAGCAGCAAAGACCCAGAACAGCCGUAAAUUCACUGCAUACUUCCACCAUGCCAUUAUGCUAGGCUACAUUCCCACCUGCAAGGAACAGAAGUACCUAUUUCUUCACAGCCUCACCAAGGAUUUAAGGUCGUAUUUCUAUCGCUAUAUAUUUUCUUCCCCAAACAAAAUGGACAUUUACUUUCUAUCUUGUAAAAGUCCAGAGAUAAAUAGUCCAGGGCCGGUGUGGUACUGCUCUACAAAGUCUUCUGGAAUUCAGCCUUGUUUCCUGGUGGCCUCCAUGCCUAAUGUCGCAUGGUUCAAGAUGACUGCCUCAGCUCCAGCCAUCACACUUGCAGUCCAGGUAUAGGAAUGACGAAGGGAUAGAGAAAGAUAAGAGAAAUUGAGAUUAAAACUUUCCAUUUCUCUUAUGAGAGCAAAACAUUGAGCAUGUUUU